ACACACCCCCGACAAUGCAAAAGCGAACUUAUUUAAUUAUCUGUUACUACUACCGAAACACCGGCCAGUCCGCGCA